rnacentral:lncRNA from 1 species
AAAACUUCAAGUACAGCAGAUAURUCAAGGGAAGGCCACAAAAGUAAAAWUCACUGCUGCUUGGUGUCUGCCUAGAACGCCGCCUCCUGCGAGGGGAAGCAGGUCCCGUCUUCAAAUCACGGCUUAGUGUUAAGCACCUCAAGGACGUUAYAUUUUUGCAAUGGGAAAUUUUGGGUUUUAUAUUGCCGUUUCCCUGAGUUUGUGGAGCUGCAGAAGAACCGCACAGAAAAAUGUCCUGUCAUGUCUUAGCGAGGGGAG